ensembl:misc_RNA
UUGCUAGUGCUGGAAACUGAGCUAAGCCGCUGAACGGUAUGCAGAGAGUAUGGCACGGCUAUUGCUCCCCGCACUGCCCAGAGAAUGUGCCUCAGUCCUGAACAUGGAGGGACCAUGUCUAGGGCUGAGAAGGGUAGUUCAGUCUCCAUGCUCCAUUAAUACUGAGAUUGC